rnacentral:rRNA from 1 species
GAUCAUGGCUCAGGAUGAACGCUAGCGACAGGCUUAACACAUGCAAGUCGAGGGGCAGCAUGAUUUGUAGCAAUACAGAUUGAUGGCGGCCGGCGCACGGGUGAGUAACGCGUAUGCAACUUACCUAUCAGAGGGGGAUAGCCCGGCGAAAGUCGGAUUAAUACCCCAUAAAACAGGGGUCCCGCAUGGGAAUAUUUGUUAAAGAUUCAUCGCUGAUAGGUAGGCAUGCGUU